ensembl:lncRNA NKAPP1 NFKB activating protein pseudogene 1
ACCUUGGCCGGAGGCCACACAGACCUGGGGAAAUGUUUUGCCAACGUACUCGCAAUAGUUCCCAUGGUUUCCUUUGCUCCCAGCGGUUGCGCGGGCUGGGUUUUUGGAGCAAAGGCAACGGAUACUGCUGAGGCUCCUGAGAAUGUCCCGUUUUCGAGGCUGCAGUAGCUCCGGUGUCCGGUUCUGCAGUGCCGAGAGGGAGGCCUCGGGCUCCGGGCGGGGGAAUGUGUUGCAGUUUGUCCAAGAGCCCCAAGCCCAGCAAAGCCGCCCGUUCCCCGCUGGGGCGCAACUCUCACUGGAACUCUUGUUCUCUGACUGGGGAAUGGAAUGGGCUCAGCCAAGGCUCCCGAAACCAGCCCUGCCGCUCCCAGUUGUGGUCGCAUUCUCAAGAGCGGCUGACUGCGCCGUGGACCAUCACUUUCGCUUCUGCCUGCUCUUGCGCCUAUUGCGGCAACUACUCACGCUCCUACGGGACGAGGAGAGGGAGGUGAAUCCGUGGCAGAGGGGAAAGAAUGGUGAGAAGGAGCAGAGUGAGAUGAAUGAAAUUUGAUCUCUGUCGUUGGCUGUGGUUGCUACUCUUGGACAGUAACUCGAUGACCAUGAAGAAGACUUCCUCAUUUCAUCACAUCCUGCAUGUUGACUAGGAUCACAGCUGGCAGCUAGUCUCCUUCCUUCCAGUUCAGAAUGAAUGGACUAAACAUUUACUUAGUGGAGAGUUAUGCAAAAUUUUGAUACUAUAGAAUGUGUUCACCUAACGGGUUGAGCCAAGAAGAGGCUCCUAAAUCUAAGUCUGUAUGUUAAAUAAAUAGAAGAGACGAUUUAGCAUCU